rnacentral:tRNA from 1 species
AUUAAGAUAGGUUAUAUAAACCUAAAAGUUUAUAUCUUUUGAAUUUCUGUAAGAAUCUUAAUA